rnacentral:tRNA from 1 species
GGUCUAAUAGCUCAGUUGGAUAGAGCAACUGCCUUCUAAGCAGUAGGUCGCAGGUUCGAAUCCUGCUUAGAUCA